rnacentral:rRNA from 1 species
GACGAACGCUGGCGGCGUGCUUAACACAUGCAAGUCGAACGGAAAGGCCCUGCUUUUGUGGGGUGCUCGAGUGGCGAACGGGUGAGUAACACGUGAGUAACCUGCCCUUGACUUUGGGAUAACUUCAGGAAACUGGGGCUAAUACCGGAUAGGAGCUCCUGCUGCAUGGUGGGGGUUGGAAAGUUUCGGCGGUUGGGGAUGGACUCGCGGCUUAUCAGCUUGUUGGUGGGGUAGUGGCUUACCAAGGCUUUGACGCGUAGCCGGCCUGAGAGGGUGACCGGCCACAUUGGGACUGAGAUACGGCCCAGACUCCUACGGGAGGCAGCAGUGGGGAAUAUUGCACAAUGGGCGGAAGCCUGAUGCAGCAACGCCGCGUGCGGGAUGACGGCCUUCGGGUGGUAAACCGCUUUCGCCUGUGACGAAGCGUGAGUGACGGUAAUGGGUAAAGAAGCACCGGCUAACUACGU